CACGGCGGAGGGCUUCCGCGGGGAGAGGGAAGGCGGAGGUGGUCUGGGGCCAGGGGUGGGGAGGAAUGAUCUAAGCCCCCCCUCCCCCUCCCCUCCUCCCUCCCGCGCCCUGCCGCUUAUCGACGGAUAAAACCGGCGGCGGAAAUUUGCAGGAAGAGUUAGGGUUUGUGUGUGGCGGGGUGGGGAAUUCCCGAGGGGUGUCGACUGCUCGAUGGAAACCCCCGCGCGGGCUGCCCUUGCGGCGCUUCUUCAGCUACACAGCCAAGAUACCUGAUUGACUUGUGCAAGAUCAGACUGGAUUGGUUCAAGAUGUGGCCAAAAAGCAGUCCAAAGGGCACCAGGACUUUUCUGGGAAGAGUUGCAAAGGCUCUCUUUCCACUGGUGUCACCAAACUGGUCUGGAGGCUAAAAGCUCAAGAUCAAGAUGUCGGCAAGGCCAUACUUCCUCUGAAGGAGCCAAGGAAGGAUCUGUUCCAGGCCUUUCUCACAGCUUCUGGUAGUUCCUUAGCUUUGGGCAGGUCCACCAGGCUUGCUCCUGUCCUAGGACCACUGCGUUCACUGGUUCCUCCGCCUGGAAUCCCCUUGCUCAGAUCUCCACAUGGGUAACUGUGAUCAACCAUCUUAAUGCCAAGGUCACCUUCUCAGGAGGACUUUCUGGCCCACGAUAUCUAAGACAUUUCUCAAGCACCUUCUGUGUGCUGAUGGAGUCUGAGACAGACAAGAUCUCUGCCUUCACGGAACUUAAAUUGCACACUCUGGUAUCUGAGCUUCGUUCUUCCCUCUGGCUGGAGCACAUUUACCCCAGAGAGCUGUGUGGGCCACUCCAACUCCUCCAGGUCUUUGCUCACAGGUCACCUUCCUGUUCAGUUUAACUGGACAUCCUGUGUUUUAUCUGGCACCCCUAACCAGAUGGCUGCUCUACAACUACAUGCAUCCUAUAGAUAAUGGUUGUAAGCCUCAGGGUGGUCAGGAGGAGAAAGCAGACAAAAUAGUGCAUGCUGGUGCUUGGAACACUGUAAGCGCUUUACGAGGCAUCUGAAGACAAGAGGGCGAGCCUCGCUGGAGCAUCAUCCUUCGAGCUGAGUACUGGGCUGGCAGUGGAAACUGACUUAGGAUGGGAAUUACUUCAACAUUUCAGUCAGGAUGGUGGUUUGCAUGGGGACCAAGUCAACAUUUAAGUCAG